rnacentral:rRNA from 1 species
GACGUAGGGGGCCAGCGUUGUCCGGAGUUACUGGGCGUAAAGGGCCCGCAGGCGGUCCGCCGCGUUUGGGGUGACAGUCCUCGGCUUAACUGAGGAAGGACUCCGAAGACGGGUGGACUUGAGGACCAGACAGGGACACGGAACUCCGGGUGGAGCGGUGAAAUGCGUAGAGCUCCGGAAGAACACCAAAGGCGAAGGCAGUGUCCUGGCUGGUAGCUGACGCUCAGGGGCGAAAGCCAGGGGAG